rnacentral:rRNA from 1 species
AACGAACGCUGGCGGCAUGCCUAACACAUGCAAGUCGAACGAAACCUUCGGGUCUUUUGGCGCACGGCUGCGUAACGCGUGGGAAGCUGCCCUUAGGUUCGGAAUACCUCCCCGAAAGGGGUGCUAAUACCGGAUAAGGUCUUCGGACCAAAGAUUUAUGGCCUUUGGAUGGGCCCUCGUUGGAUUAGGUGGUUGGUAGGGUAAUAGCAUACCAAGGCGAGGAUGCAUAGCUGGUCUGAGAGGAUGAUCAGCCACACUGGGACUGAGACACGGCCCAGACUCCUACGGAAGGGAGCAGAGGGUAAUAGUGGACAAGGGGGGAAGGUCUGAUCCAGCAAUGCCGGGUGAGUGAUGAAGGCCGUAGUGUUGUAAAGCUCUUUUACCCGGGAUGAUAAUGACAGUACCGGGAGAAUAAGCACCGGCUAACUACGUG